UACGAAGGGGGCUAGCGUUGCUCGGAAUCACUGGGCGUAAAGCGCACGUAGGCGGAUCUUUAAGUCAGGGGUGAAAUCCCGGAGCUCAACUCCGGAACUGCCUCUGAUACUGAUGGUCUCGAGUUCGGGAGAGGUGAGUGGAACUGCGAGUGUAGAGGUGAAAUUCGUAGAUAUUCGCAAGAACACCGGUGGCGAAGGCGGCUCACUGGCCCGGAUACUGACGCUGAGGCACGAAAGCGUGGGGAGCAAACAG
rnacentral:rRNA from 1 species